GUCUAUUGGCAUCAUUGUUGACUCUCUCUAACAUAUGUGUUUUGGAGAAAUCAAAAUGAUGCCCCUGUUCCGUCGUGUGUUGAGUUAGACCCGUGCACGACGUUCAUGUGCGUAUAGAAUUUUUAUGUUGUGUUAUGCGCGUCUCUAGCGUCUGUGAUGUCUGCCCAAUGUACUCCUUAUUGUUACAGAUGCCACAAGGGAUACUGUACACUAUGUUGGUUUGUUGCAUCUUAGGUAUCUUGUCCUUCAGCAUGGUAAAGACGGUACUUUUAAUUUUAUUCGUUGGUUUGUACGCAGCUGUGACGUCAUUCUUGCGCAGAAGCUUCCCUAUCUUCUCGCUCAGGCAGGGAAUGUACGGAAUAGAUGCGUAUUUUGUUGUUCGUUCUUCUGUUCCCCUGGUUUUCAUCGUGUUGUAUAGCAGAUCUACUCGUUGUUUUAAAAUACAUCUAAUGUAAUGUUCUGGAUACUUGUUGCUGCGUAGUAUGUCUAAUGCUGUUUUAAUGGUCUCUUCUCGUUUCUCCGUAUCCGUCAGUUUAAGUGCUCUGUCAAAGAGUGCAAUUGCAGUAUUUUUCUUAUGAGUGUGUGGACUCUUCGAAGCGUAGUCUAAGUAUCGUCCAGAUUUUGUUUCGGAUGCCAUGCUUUCUGCAUUUUUUCUCCUUCUCUAGUCAGCAUAAGGUCCAAAAAACGAAUGCGACCACGUUCUUCCAUCUCACAAGUGAAAUUGAUGUUGCUAUGUUGCUCGUUGAACGUUCGAACGACAGUUUCGAUUUCGUUAGCUCGUCCUACAACAAAACAAUCAUCCACAUAGCGCCGGUAUACUACUAGUGAUAUGUUUUUCUGUUUCAGCUUUUCGAUAGCAUCUUUUUCCAACUUUUCCAUCACUAUGUUCGCGACAACAGGAGAUAAAGGUGAUCCCAUUGGCACACCAAAUGUCUGGUCAUAAAACACAUGUGUUAGAGAGAGUCAACAACGAGGCCAAUAGACUAACAGCAGAAGUUCUUCACAUAAAAUUGAGAGAGGAGAGCGCAGUGAACCUACAGCGUGAUGCUGCCAGUUUCUCCUAUGCAUACAACGGGCUUCUCAACAAACUGCGGGCUACGCAGCACGGUAAGCGUGGUCAGCAAAGGGAGACGCCACGAACGUGAGAGAGAAAUUUAAAUUUAGUUUUAUUUGGACAGUCCCGCGAGCGAGAAGCGAACGGGCUUAAAUUUCUGAGGAUGGCCGAAGAAUGAGUAGGCUGAAACGUAAACAACGGAAAUAGUUUUAUUAUAUUUUUCACCGAACAACAUCAACCGAAACCAGUAAGCAGAGUCGAACGGUGACCAAAGCUGAAAACAUAAAAUCAAUUGAUCAAGGAAAAAAGAAGAAGGAAAUCUACGCGAUGUUUAUCGUGUCAAAAAUAACGAGAAAGUACGACGAGACGACUGGAGGACUAACCAGAUGCAUGCUAAAAAUAGCAGUAAAAAUGGCUAAAAUGAAAAACCGGCUCAAGUUUUUAUUAAAUUGUCGACAGUGCAAACUUGUACCCAAGUGCCUAAACUACAAAAUCGCCGUUACACUACAUAGUGCUACCUCUCGCCACGAACUUACGAAGCUUGAGCACCGACAGAAAAUAAGAAUUCUAAGUGUAGUCAUUGGAGAUACAAAACGGCUCUUAGAUCUACUCAAAAACAAAAAGCACUAUCUUGGUGAAAAGAUUCAAAUGGCGAUAGAUGAGGAAGAUUGGAGAGAGGUACAGAAUGCAGUAGAGAAGAAAGCAGCAAAUGUGUACUUUAAAACGAAGCGAACAGAAAUUCAAAAGCUGGGCAACCUGAAGAGGAAAAAAAUAGAGGAAGUAAGCCAACAAUCCGAUUGGAUAGAGAAUACGACAACCUACGAAAUCCCGGACUAUCUAGAGCGAACUCUUUGCUUGGGCCCAAACUUCAACAUACAAAACAAAAAGUCCAUCCCAUACGUACGUCUCGUGUCGGAUGUGGAGACAGCUAUAAAAAACAAACCAGAAGCCGACAACAUACGAGCAGAAGUGUCUACAAUAGUAUCCAAUUAUGUAAACUAUCAGAGCCAACCCCGAACAAAAGAGAACGACUGGAUACAUAGGGACAUUAUGAAAAGUAAAAAUUUCUUACAAGAGAACCCGAACCUCUACGUAACAAAAGCCGACAAAGGUAACAAAACUGUACUUAUAUCAGCCGCCGAAUACCACCAAAAAAUGACUGCGAUGGUCAACGAUACAUCGACUUACAAGGAGCGCAAAGAUAAUCCCUCGAAAAGGGUGCUGAAGAAGCUGAAUACCAUCGUGGAACAGUGGUGGUUAGAUAAACAAAUAGAUACAGCAACCAAACACAAACUUAAAGUAUACCACUGCAACCCACCGCGGGUCUACGGUUUACCAAAGAUACACAAGGAAGGCCGCCCUCUUCGACCCGUCGUUUCCACCAUCGGCUCAGCCACUUACCGCAUGGCUCAAUACUUAGCAGGAAUACUGAACAAUUUGGUAGGAAAAACCGAAUACCAUGUUCGCAAUAGUUUCGACUUUGCAGAAGAGGUAUCCAAGGUGCGGGUACCGGACGGAUGCGUCCUUUUUUCGCUAGAUGUGAUUUCUCUUUACACAAACGUGCCUGUAGAAAAGGUAUAUGAGUGCGUAGAAGAGAGAUGGCAUGAGCUGGACCACAAAACGACUAUACCGUGGGACAAUGUCAAACAAGCGAUGAAAGUUGUCCUGAAAGCUUUCUUCUUCCAAUAUGAUGGGAAGUUUUAUGACCAGACAUUUGGUGUGCCACCUUUAUCUUCUGUUGUCGCGAACAUAGUGAUGGAAAAGUUGGAAAAAGAUGCUAUCGAAAAGCUGAAACAGAAAAACAUAUCACUAGUAGUAUACCGGCGCUAUGUGGAUGAUUGUUUUAUUGUAGGACGAGCUAACGAAAUCGAAACUGUCGUUCGAACGUUCAACGAGCAACAUAGCAACAUCAAUUUCACUUGUGAAAUGGAAGAACGUGGUCGCAUUCGUGUUUUGGACCUUAUGCUGACUAGACAAGGAGAAAAAAUACAGAAAGCAUGGCAUCCGAAACAAAAAACUGGACAAUACUUAGACUACACUUCGGAGAGUCCACACACUCAUAAGAAAAAUACUGCAAUUGCACUCUUUGACAGAGCGCUUAAACUGACGGAUACGGAGAAACGAGAAGAGACCAUUAAAACAGCAUUAGACAUACUACGCAGCAACAACUAUCCAGAACAUUACAUUAGACGUAUUUUAAAACAACGAGUAGAUCUGCUAUACAACACGAUGAAAACCAGGGGAACAGAAGAACGAACAACAAAAUACGCAUCUAUUCCGUACAUUCCCUGCCUGAGCGAGAAGAUAGGGAAGCUUCUGCGCAAGAAUGACGUCACAGCUGCGUACAAACCAACGAAUAAAAUUAAAAGUACCGUCUUUACCAUGCUGAAGGACAAGAUACCUAAGAUGCAACAAACCAACAUAGUGUAUAGUAUCCCUUGUGGCGUCUGUGACAAUAAGGAGUACAUUGGGCAGACAUCACAGACGCUAGAGAAGCGCAUAACACAACAUAAAAAUUCUAUACGCACAUGAACGUCGUGUACGGGUCUAACUCAACACACGACGAAACAGGGGCAUCAUUUUGAUUUCUCCAAAACACAUGUGUUAGAGAGAGUCAACAACGAGGCCAAUAGACUAACAGCAGAAGUUCUUCACAUAAAAUUGAGAGAGGAGAGCGCAGUGAACCUACAGCGUGAUGCCGCCAGUUUCUCCUAUGCAUACAACGGGCUUCUCAACAAACUGCGGUCUACGCAGCACGAUCAGAUUUAGAACAUUUGAGAUCAGUUUUCAUGGCAGUUGAAAAUGGCGAUUUGGGUAUGCUGAAAUCUAUCGGUAUCAAGGAUUCCGAGUUAGGAGACGUAAAGUUUUUUCUUGAAAAACUGGUCAACACAGG